rnacentral:SRP_RNA from 1 species
UUGUGCUAGGCGGGGAGUUAGCGGUGCCCUUUUCCCGAAAACCGCUUACGCGGGGCUGAAUUCCCUCUGGAGGAUUUCAUUCCGAUAAACGUUAAGUUAUUUUGAGCGGCCGCCGCGCAACAGACGGUCAUGAACCUCGUCAGAUCCGGAAGGAAGCAGCGAUAAGUGAUUUAGUCUGUGUCGCGGAUUGUUCCCGUUCAUGUAUUUAACUUAUGUUUUUCCGGGAUUCAUUCGAUAGAGGGUGCACAA